rnacentral:tRNA from 1 species
UUGAACAACAGCAUGAUUCGCCUUUGCAAGGCGGGUGUCAGGGGUUCGAUUCCCCUAGGCUCCA